rnacentral:rRNA from 1 species
GGNUUAACCAUAGUACGCUUUGGAAACUGUUUAGCUUGAGUGCAGAAGGGGAGAGUGGAGUUCCAUGUGUAGCGGUGAAAUGCGUAGAUAUGUGGAGGAACACCGGUGGCGAAAGCGGCUNUCUGGUCUGUAACUGACGCUGAGGCUCGAAAGCGUGGGGAGCGAACAGGAUUAGAUACCCUGGUAGUNCACGCCGUAAACGAUGAGUGCUAGGUGUUAGGCCCUUUCCGGGGCUUAGUGCCGCAGCUAACGCAUUAAGCACUCCGCCUGGGGAGUACGACCGCAAGGUUGAAACUCAAAGGAAUUGACGGGGGCCCGCACAAGCGGUGGAGCAUGUGGUUUAAUUCGAAGCAACGCGAAGAACCUUACCAGGUCUUGACAUCCCGAUGCCCGCUCUAGAGAUAGAGUUUUACUUCGGUACAUCGGUGACAGGUGGUGCAUGGUUGUCGUCAGCUCGUGUCGUGAGAUGUUGGGUUAAGUCCCGCAACGAGCGCAACCCUUAUUGUUAGUUGCCAUCAUUCAGUUGGGCACUCUAGCGAGACUGCCGGUAAUAAACCGGAGGAAGGUGGGGAUGACGUCAAAUCAUCAUGCCCCUUAUGACCUGGGCUACACACGUGCUACAAUGGCUGGUACAACGAGUCGCAAGUCGGUGACGGCAAGCUAAUCUCUUAAAGCCAGUCUCAGUUCGGAUUGUAGGCUGCAACUCGCCUACAUGAAGUCGGAAUCGCUAGUAAUCGCGGAUCAGCACGCCGCGGUGAAUACGUUCCCGGGCCUUGUACACACCGCCCGUCACACCACGAGAGUUUGUAACACCCGAAGUCGGU